rnacentral:rRNA from 2 species
AUAGGGUCAAGUGAGUAAGUGCAUCAGGCGGAUGCCUUGGCGAUGAUAGGCGACGAAGGACGUGUAAGCCUGCGAAAAGCGCGGGGGAGCUGGCAAUAAAGCUAUGAUUCCGCGAUGUCCGAAUGGGGAAACCCACUGCAUUCUGUGCAGUAUCCUAAGUUGAAUACAUAGGCUUAGAGAAGCGAACCCGGAGAACUGAACCAUCUAAGUACCCGGAGGAAAAGAAAUCAACCGAGAUUCCGCAAGUAGUGGCGAGCGAACGCGGAGGAGCCUGUACGUAAUAACUGUCGAGAUAGAAGAACAAGCUGGGAAGCUUGACCAUAGCGGGUGACAGUCCCGUAUUCGAAAUCUCAACAGCGGUACUAAGCGUACGAAAAGUAGGGCGGGACACGUGAAAUCCUGUCUGAAUAUGGGGGGACCAUCCUCCAAGGCUAAAUACUCAUCAUCGACCGAUAGUGAACCAGUACCGUGAGGGAAAGGCGAAAAGAACCCCGGGAGGGGAGUGAAACAGAACCUGAAACCUGAUGCAUACAAACAGUGGGAGCGCCCUAGUGGUGUGACUGCGUACCUUUUGUAUAAUGGGUCAACGACUUACAUUCAGUAGCGAGCUUAACCGGAUAGGGGAGGCGUAGGGAAACCGAGUCUUAAUAGGGCGAUGAGUUGCUGGGUGUAGACCCGAAACCGAGUGAUCUAUCCAUGGCCAGGUUGAAGGUGCCGUAACAGGUACUGGAGGACCGAACCCACGCAUGUUGCAAAAUGCGGGGAUGAGCUGUGGGUAGGGGUGAAAGGCUAAACAAACUCGGAGAUAGCUGGUUCUCCCCGAAAACUAUUUAGGUAGUGCCUCGAGCAAGACACUGAUGGGGGUAAAGCACUGUUAUGGCUAGGGGGUUAUUGCAACUUACCAACCCAUGGCAAACUCAGAAUACCAUCAAGUGGUUCCUCGGGAGACAGACAGCGGGUGCUAACGUCCGUUGUCAAGAGGGAAACAACCCAGACCGCCGGCUAAGGUCCCAAAUGAUAGAUUAAGUGGUAAACGAAGUGGGAAGGCACAGACAGCCAGGAUGUUGGCUUAGAAGCAGCCAUCAUUUAAAGAAAGCGUAAUAGCUCACUGGUCGAGUCGUCCUGCGCGGAAGAUGUAACGGGGCUCAAAUCUAUAACCGAAGCUGCGGAUGCCGGUUUACCGGCAUGGUAGGGGAGCGUUCUGUAGGCUGAUGAAGGUGCAUUGUAAAGUGUGCUGGAGGUAUCAGAAGUGCGAAUGUUGACAUGAGUAGCGAUAAAGCGGGUGAAAAGCCCGCUCGCCGAAAGCCCAAGGUUUCCUACGCAACGUUCAUCGGCGUAGGGUGAGUCGGCCCCUAAGGCGAGGCAGAAAUGCGUAGUCGAUGGGAAACAGGUUAAUAUUCCUGUACUUGAUUCAAAUGCGAUGUGGGGACGGAGAAGGUUAGGUUGGCAAGCUGUUGGAAUAGCUUGUUUAAGCCGGUAGGUGGAAGACUUAGGCAAAUCCGGGUUUUCUUAACACCGAGAAGUGAUGACGAGUGUCUACGGACACGAAGCAACCGAUACCACGCUUCCAGGAAAAGCCACUAAGCUUCAGUUUGAAUCGAACCGUACCGCAAACCGACACAGGUGGGCAGGAUGAGAAUUCUAAGGCGCUUGAGAGAACUCGGGAGAAGGAACUCGGCAAAUUGAUACCGUAACUUCGGGAGAAGGUAUGCCCUCUAAGGUUAAGGACUUGCUCCGUAAGCCCCGGAGGGUCGCAGAGAAUAGGUGGCUGCGACUGUUUAUUAAAAACACAGCACUCUGCCAACACGAAAGUGGACGUAUAGGGUGUGACGCCUGCCCGGUGCCGGAAGGUUAAUUGAAGAUGUGCAAGCAUCGGAUCGAAGCCCCGGUAAACGGCGGCCGUAACUAUAACGGUCCUAAGGUAGCGAAAUUCCUUGUCGGGUAAGUUCCGACCCGCACGAAUGGCGUAACGAUGGCCACACUGUCUCCUCCCGAGACUCAGCGAAGUUGAAGUGGUUGUGAAGAUGCAAUCUACCCGCUGCUAGACGGAAAGACCCCGUGAACCUUUACUGUAGCUUUGCAUUGGACUUUGAAGUCACUUGUGUAGGAUAGGUGGGAGGCUUGGAAGCAGAGACGCCAGUCUCUGUGGAGUCGUCCUUGAAAUACCACCCUGGUGUCUUUGAGGUUCUAACCCAGACCCGUCAUCCGGGUCGGGGACCGUGCAUGGUAGGCAGUUUGACUGGGGCGGUCUCCUCCCAAAGCGUAACGGAGGAGUUCGAAGGUUACCUAGGUCCGGUCGGAAAUCGGACUGAUAGUGCAAUGGCAAAAGGUAGCUUAACUGCGAGACCGACAAGUCGGGCAGGUGCGAAAGCAGGACAUAGUGAUCCGGUGGUUCUGUAUGGAAGGGCCAUCGCUCAACGGAUAAAAGGUACUCCGGGGAUAACAGGCUGAUUCCGCCCAAGAGUUCAUAUCGACGGCGGAGUUUGGCACCUCGAUGUCGGCUCAUCACAUCCUGGGGCUGUAGUCGGUCCCAAGGGUAUGGCUGUUCGCCAUUUAAAGUGGUACGUGAGCUGGGUUUAAAACGUCGUGAGACAGUUUGGUCCCUAUCUGCAGUGGGCGUUGGAAGUUUGACGGGGGCUGCUCCUAGUACGAGAGGACCGGAGUGGACGAACCUCUGGUGUACCGGUUGUAACGCCAGUUGCAUAGCCGGGUAGCUAAGUUCGGAAGAGAUAAGCGCUGAAAGCAUCUAAGCGCGAAACUCGCCUGAAGAUGAGACUUCCCUUGCGGUUUAACCGCACUAAAGGGUCGUUCGAGACCAGGACGUUGAUAGGUGGGGUGUGGAAGCGCGGUAACGCGUGAAGCUAACCCAUACUAAUUGCCCGUGAGGCUUGACUCUAU